UUCCUGAGAGAUCAACUCGUUUCAAAUGUGUAAUUGAAACAUGGUCCUCAGCGUAGUUAUUGAAAGGGUAUUCAGUGAAGUAUAAUAACUUCGUGCUGAUCACGCAUUAUGCAAUAAUUUAUUUACGCUAACCAGCGCGAGUAACGUGCACCGAAAAAAUAGAAGUACUCUUUAUUUCAACUGCAUUAAAUUAGUAGUUGCUUGUUUUCGCUGAAACGACUGGUAUCAUUUAUAGUAUUAUUGGUUCCUAGAACGAAUUGACGCAGACGAAAACUAGAAGACGAAACUCGCCCGACUCGCCCAGCCGUCCAUCCUUUUGCAUAAUAUAUAUAGUCCAUUUGGUUAGUUAAUCUCGUGCAUUCUAUAACUCUGUCACCGAAUAAACAAAGGAAGCAGUGUUACUAUACGUUUGGUUUUCUACAAGCUUUGCCAAAUAGAGGAAUAAAUAAAUAAACAACUGGCACAGUGCGUAGUACAGCGUGUAUUUGACCGCGACGGAGAUCGAGACACAAAGCUGCCUAUUUCAAGACUGAUAGGUCGACUUUAUCAAUCAGAGGCCGCACAUCGGAAGUUUUGUCACAUCUGGACCAAUCGUAUCAGCUGUCAAAAAAAAAGAAUGAUGACAAAAAUUGCGCACAAGCGAAAAAGAAUGCAGAGGAAUGGAAAUAUCGAACGCUGUGUAAAGCGUGUGCACUAUUUAGAUUGGAAUGUUCCAAUAUUCACGAACAGUUUUUUUUUCUCCAUUAUUUCUUCAUCACACUUUAUCCCACAGCUACAAAAGUAAUUUCCUGCGUCUAGUCUGUUUUGCUCAUGUUUGUGCAGCUCUGCUCGAAUUUCUUGGCCAAGACGAACGCGCUGUCUUGAGCCUCUAGAAAAAAAAAAAAAAAAAAAAAAACAGCACCCCACUGCAGCAACAGUCAAGGAACUGUAGACCCAGCCGGUUUUCUCACGCAUUCGCUUCCGUUUGCGAGUUGCGAGUGUCAUGUGUUUAGUGCCGGAGGGAUCACGCGAAACGACGCUUUAGCAACAUUCACAGCUGCGACUGCUCUUCGGUUUAACUGAAGAAAAAAAAUAUUUUUUUUCACUCCUGGGCAUUUGAAACAUCCCGGACAAGGUAUAUAAAGGUGAAGCACUUUGACAACUAGUCAUUGCUAUCGAAAAUGGAGACUUCGACUGUUCUUAUUCUGGGGCUCCUCGUCCUGGCAGUCUUGGCCUGCUGCAACGCCGAAGGUGUAGACGACAACAGUAAGCAUGAACAUACAAAGAAGCACCCAACCAGGAUGCGCCGAUCCGAGGAGGAUGAACCCGGUGCCAAAGGCCGCAAGAUAGCAUCUGAGAUGUCUGGUGGCAAGGCCGGCGGCAAGGGGAAAGGAAAGGGGAAAGGAAAAGCUAAAGGGAAGAAGGAAGAUAGCGAUGAACAGUAAUUAACACCACGAGUGCAGUCAUCCAGAUGAAGCUCCCAGAUGCCACCCGACCGGCCUCCACCAUAUCAAUAAGAAGCCAGAUAAAAUGUCAAUAAAAUCGCACGAGAAUAAA